UCCUCGAUCUGCUGCGGGCAGAUGAAGUGGAUGUGGCUGUCGAUGCCGCCCGCGGUGACGAUGUUGCCCUCGCAGCUGAUGAUCUCGGUACCCGGGCCGAUGACGAUGUCCACGCCCGGCUGCACGUCGGGGUUGCCGGCCUUGCCGAUGGCGGCGAUGCGGCCGUCCUUCAGGCCGAUGUCGGCCUUCACGAUGCCCCAGUGAUCGAGGAUGAGGGCGUUGGUCAGCACCGUGUCGACCGCGCCUUGCGCCCUGGUGCGCUGCGAUUGCGCCAUGCCGUCGCGGA
rnacentral:sRNA from 1 species